rnacentral:lncRNA from 1 species
GUCAGACCUUGCGCACACCUGAGAAGGCUCUCGGUGCGGAUCCCACCGAAUUUUCCCUUUCAGGACAGCUCUCUGAAAGAGGAGCCCCCUGCUGGUGUAAGCGUGAAGCCUGCGAUCGAAUCCCUGUGCUCCUGGUUUGGCCGCUACCGAUGUCCCUGGGGCCCCACCGACUCCAUCUCUUCCCCAAACCUCGCGGCCAUUUCUGGGCUCUUGGUUCAGCUCCUGUCAUCUUCUCUGAAACCCGCCCUGACGAUCUGCUCUGGAUGUGAUGUGAUGAUAGGACCCAGUGCUCAUCAGAAUAGCAUCCUACGGUGGCCUCAGUGAUGAGCAGAGCCGUGUCAUCUGAGCUCCUGGUCUGAGUGGUUCCAACUGCGAGCUCCUGGAAGGGAGGAGCUGGGGCUUGUUCAUUCUUGCCUCUUUGGAUUUGGAGCCUAGAAGCCCCUCCAUACAUGUUGACCGGAUGCCUGCCCUGCAAGUGCACCCGUGCGUCCGGCCCCUCCGUUUCAGAUCGGUCAUGGACCUGGGGCUGGUGAAUUCCCACGGGUGUGGGUGAAGAGGGGCUACUGGCCAGAGUUCUGCAGAGGGGUGGGAACCUUGGAUUUCGCUGUGGGCUUCAGAACCAGGCUCUCAUUGCUAGCUCUCCCUGGUGGGUGUUUUAAGCAUGCUUCAAAACCAUAAACUGGAUGAGCAGAUGCCUGGCGGUAGCAGGCUCCCUGUUUUCGGGCGGCGGCCGUGCCCAGUGGGCACCUGAAACACACAUCCCCCAUCGCACAUGAGUUUCUCUGUCAGGCACAGAAAUACACCUCUCCUUCUCCUGGGCAGUAAAAGGACAGAGCUUUUGAAACGCGAUGGAAAAACAAAUCAAACAGUGCUGCACUACAGAGUAUCCUCUCUCUCCUAUCUCCUCAUAAAACAAAAUAAGACUGGCCCUGCCAUUCGAUCUGAAUUAGUCCUCGGUCAGUGCCAAGUUGACUCGUUAAACACUUCAGGGAAGAGGUCAGACCCACAAGGUCAGACAGGAAAACUUAGAGGGUAUCGUUCAAUUAGAAAAGAGCCCGUAAUUCAGUACCCGACACAAAGCAGCACUCGGGAAGCCUGUAAGCCACUGUAGAAUGAACGCACGGUGCGUAUGGAUGGACGGUCGACCACAGGUAGUGCGUGAGGGGUUAGAUUCGAAGGUGAGAGACAGGGCGGGCACGCCUGAUGGAGGAUUUCUAAGCGGGAGAAAACCCAAGAGGAG